CGCCGUCGCCGUAGGCCAGGGCAGCGAUCGCGCCGUUGCCGCCGGCGCACAGGGUCUCGGCCUGGGACCAGCCGGCGCGUUCGGCCGAGUCGGCGGCGACCA
rnacentral:tRNA from 1 species